rnacentral:rRNA from 1 species
ACCUUCUCUUGACAUCCAGAGAAGCCAGCGGAGACGCAGGUGUGCCUUCGGGAACUCUGAGACAGGUGCUGCAUGGCUGUCGUCAGCUCGUGUUGUGAAAUGUUGGGUUAAGUCCCGCAACGAGCGCAACCCUUAUCCUUGUUUGCCAGCGAGUAAUGUCGGGAACUCCAGGGAGACUGCCGGUGAUAAACCGGAGGAAGGUGGGGACGACGUCAAGUCAUCAUGGCCCUUACGAGUAGGGCUACACACGUGCUACAAUGGCGCAUACAGAGGGCGGCCAACUUGCGAAAGUGAGCGAAUCCCAAAAAGUGCGUCGUAGUCCGGAUUGGAGUCUGCAACUCGACUCCAUGAAGUCGGAAUCGCUAGUAAUCG